AUUAGAGUGACUGAUUAAGGUGAUAAAUUGUAAAUUUAUUUAUAGAUAUUUCUCUCUAUUA
rnacentral:tRNA from 1 species